rnacentral:tRNA from 1 species
UCCUUGGUGGUUCAGUGGCUAAGACUCUGAGCUCCCAACACAGGGGCCCUGGGUUCCAUUCCCGGUCAGGGAG